UACAGAGGUCUCAAGCGUUGUUCGGAUUCAUUGGGCGUAAAGGGUGUGUAGGUGGCGCGCUAAGUCGGGUGUGAAAUUUCGGAGCUUAACUCCGAAACUGCAUUCGAUACUGGCGUGCUCGAGGACUGGAGAGGAGACUGGAAUUCAUGGUGUAGCAGUGAAAUGCGUAGAGAUCAUGAGGAAGACCAGUGGCGAAGGCGGGUCUCUGGGCAGUUCCUGACACUGAGACACGAAGGCCAGGGGAGCAAACGGG
rnacentral:rRNA from 1 species